rnacentral:misc_RNA from 1 species
UAAUAAGUGUUUUAUGGCACUUUUUAAAUCCAUAUCCACCUUGUGUGCAAUGUCAGUCGAUCUUCUUUUAUGGAGGAUCGACCAAACAUCAACCUUUAUUUUUUAACUCUUUGUCUGAAAAAUAUUAUGAAUAAACAAUUCAAAAUA